UUCACCAUGUUGGCCAGGCUGUUCUCGAACUUCUGACCGCAGGUGAUCCACCCACAGCAGCCUCCCAAAGUGGUGGGAUUACAGGCGUGAACCACCACACCUGGCCAAAAAGAUGUUUUCAAGCUCUUAGGUCAUUUUCGAGCACAAACUCUUAGAAAUAAGAGUUAGAAAAAUAGAAUGAUAGGUUAUUGAAAAUGUAUUAAUAAUAAAAUACCACAUACGAAAAACCAAUGGGGCCCAGCAUGGUUGUAUAUACCUGUAGUCCCAGCUGCUAAGGAGGCUAAGGCAGGGGCAUCGCUCGACCCUAGCCAGGUGUUCUGGACUGUAGUGUGCUAUAUGGAUCAGGUGUCUGCACUAAGUGCAGCAUCAAUGUGAUGACCUCUCUGGAGUGGGAAAACUCCAGGUUGCCUAAGGAAGGGUGAACUGGCCCAGGUCAGAAAUGGAGCAUGUAGAAACUCUGGUGCUGAUCAGUAGUGAGAUCACACCUGUGAAUAGCCACUGUACUCGAGCUUGGACAACAUAGUGGGACCCUGUCUCUAAAAGAAAAACAAAAAAACUAAAACCUUUGGGAUGUGGCUGAAGCCAUGCUCUGAGGCAAAUGCAUAGUCAUAAAUGCCUUCAUGAUUAAACAGUUUACCAGGAAAAUAAAAAUUAAGCAUCCAAAGCAGGAAGUUAGAGGAGAAACUCCAUCAAAUCAAGAGAGAUAAUAUAAUUUAAAAACAAAGUAAUAGAUAAUUCAGAAACUAAUAUUAAAUCUAGAAAGCUGUUUUUUUAAAGUACCCAUCAGAUUUAACAAACAUUAAGAUUUGGAAAAAAAAGGGAAGUAUGGGUAGCAAAGCAUUCUGCCCAGUAUGGGCAGAAUAUAAGUUAAAUAUUUUGAUUUUUCUUCCUCAUUAUUGUCUGGAGUCUGCAAAACUUACACAUACAAGUACUGUGGUUUGUUUUGGCAUUUUAAUCAGAAAACAUCACAGCUAGUAGUUAUCUCUUGAGCAUUAAUCAUUUUGUCCCUUCAGAGGACAUUUAUGUUAUCUUUUGCCAGGAGAUAUAAAGUUUGAGAUAUCCUAUUUUUACCUUAACAUAGAAAGAAUAUGGAGGGUUUCCAUGGUCAUGUUUUUUGGGUGGGUGGUACAUACUCUGGAGUUUCACAGUGGGAGAGUGUCUCGUUAUGUUCCAGCUUCAGUUUUGAUUUUAAGUGGGUGUCAGUUUUCUAUUGCUUAAUCUGGGAAAAUUAUUUGCAUUCAUCUGGAAGUUCCAUCUCUGAGGAAUUUAGUGUACAUUUUCUGCCGAUGCAUUCCUUUGUAGUAACGUUUGCCCAUUUUCCCUAACCCAGUCUAGCACAGUGCUCUUUCCAUAGUGUAUACUCAAUGCAUGUUUGUUGAAUUAUAUAGGCUCUCAAUGAUCUGAAUACAUUUAUCUAAUAAUAUCUUUUAAAUAAUAUUUUUGUUUCAUACUCUGACGGAUUCUUGAGUUUUAUAGAUUAUGUCAAAAGCAUUUUAUUUAAAGACAUUUGCCUUAAUAUACACAAAAAAUGAGCAUGAAACUGGUUAAAUAUUUUUACAAAGAUGAUUCUGAGACUGAUUUUUUUCGUUAAUUUGGAAAAUUCUGAAAGACGAAGAUAAUUUUACUAUAUAGAUAGUUGUGCUUUUUUGUGAAGUAAAUAAUACAAGAAUGAUUAGACUUUGUUAAGUGUAGUGUACAUUUAUUCCAUAUUUAUUUCCUUUAUGAAGACAAGUCCCUGCUAUGAAGUUUUUAAUUCCUAAAAAAAAUAGAUCUUGGUAAAAGUAGAGAGACUAAACAGAGAAAUUCAAACUGAGAAGUAACAUUCUAUAAUAUAACUAGUCUAGUUUUUCAUACAUUUUGUUAUUCACUAUUCAAGACAUAGUUCUUUGAUUUCUAUACUAAUAUAAUUAAAAUGUUGCCAGAAUUUAUUAUUUAUUUAACAUGUUAUCUAUGUGGGCUUUAUUAUGUGGACUUUUUAGAAUAGUUUGGGAUCUUAAAAGAAUGGUUUGGAUCACUGCUUUUCAUUGCUGAGAACAACAGAUGCUGCAUUUUGAUGUAUAUUACUGAAGGCCCCAAAGUCACAAUAAACAGCUUUUGAAACCUUACAGAGUUGCAGCUAUAGGAGAAAGUUUGCCAGUCUGUUCCUACUAGUGACAUCUUCUGUUUGUGCAGCUGUUGACUAUUGCAGCUUCUCUCUCUCUCUUUUUUUUUUUUUUUUUUGCUAAAAACAAAGGAUCAUUUUAGUGUUUCUGAGUUUUAUUGUUGAACUCUGAUAUCUAGAAUUGCUCUUAGAACAGAAACCAAUACAAACUUUAAUAUUUAAAAGCACAUGCUGUGUAUAUAUACAGACAUUAGUUUUAAAUUAUACAUAAUACCCUUUAAAUAGUAGGUUGCCUAAGUUUAUAAAACUUUUUUUUUAUAAAGUACAAAUGAAGUGGGGUGUAAAAAUUGUUUGCAACUUUUGACCUGAGCAAGAAUUUGAAUUUGUUGCUACCAAAGUCAUUUAUGAGUUGACAUUUUUUGGUGGGGAGAGGUCAGGAAAAGUAUUAUUUUAAAAUUAUUUAUUUAUAAUUAGUAUGGUUAAGAUUGAUAAUUUGAUGUACCCAUGUACCUUCCUGAAAAAAAAAAAAAAA